rnacentral:rRNA from 1 species
AUUGAACGCUGGCGGCAGGCCUAACACAUGCAAGUCGAGCGAGCGGCGGACGGGUGAGUAAUGUAUGGGGACUGCCCGAUAGAGGGGGAUAACUACUGGAAACGGUGGCUAAUACCGCAUACUCUAGGAUAACCCAUAUGGGAUUAGCUAGUAGGUGGGGGAAAGGCUCACCUAGGCGACGAUCUCUCGCUGGUCUGAGAGGAUGAUCACCAACAAUGGGACUGAGACACGGACGAGACUCCUACGGUGGCAGCAGUGGGAAAUAUUGCACAAUGGGCGCAAGCCUGAUGCAGCCAUGCCGCGUGUAGGAAGAAGGCCUUAGGGUUGUAAAGUACUUUCAGCGGGGAGGCGUUACCCGCAGAAGAAGCACCGGCUAACUCCGUGCCAGCAGCCGCGGUAAUUC